UACAACCCUCAAAAGUGAAAAGCUGAAUUUUCAAUGGUGUUUGGUUUGGCUUUUAAGAAUUGAUUCUAUCCUCCAAAAGCAAUUAUCCAUGAAGCUACAAAUCCUAACUUUUGGCUUUUGUAGAAUCAAUUCUACAUUAAACUAUUAUCAAUUCCAUAACUACCCUCUUAAUUAUCAUCAAUUUUUAUCACCCUUUCUCCAACCAUAUUUGUUUUUCUCUACCUGGAACCUUAAAUUCAUUCGCUCCACUGUCUACUUUUCUCUAGCUAGAACUCAACCACCCUUCACAAAUUUAAUCUAAAAAUUUAUUGCUAUUAGGUUAUAUAACAACACCACCUCCUGCUAGCAAAUAUCUACUCAAGAGAACAACAAAAAGGAAAAAUUCUGCUCAAAAGAUAACAAUCAACAACAAGCAUUAUGGCUAAACAAAAGAAAGUUUAUGCGGAUUGGUCGGAUCUUAAAGUGAAUGAAAUAUUCAUCCAAACAUGUUUGGAUCAAGUUGUCAAGAAUGAACGCGUUAGCACUAGCUUUACUAAGAAAGGGUGGAAAAACAUUGUUUGCCAAUUUCAUGAAUCAACCGGGAGAGAUUAUGACAAGAUUCAAUUGAAGAAUAGGUAUGAUGCCUUGAAAAAGGAAUGGAGAGUAUAGUUUAACCUAUUUGGAAAAGUUACCGGAAUGGGGUGGGAUAAUGAGAGGAAUACCUUUGAUGCACCAGAUGAGUGGUGGGAGAACAAACAAUUGGAAAAUCCUCUCUAUGGAAAAUUUAGAGAGAAAGGACUUCCAUUUGCUAAUCAACUAAUCACACUUUUUAAGGAUGUGGUGGCUAACGGGAGCAUGCUUGGGCACCUUCAAGUGGCAUAUUGCCCAACGAGGACUGUGGUACUGAUGUUGGUCAAGACGUAAAUAAUAUUGACUUGGAUGUGGGAGAAGGAUCAGGUGAUAGUGAAGAUGUGAGUAUUGGAGCAACUGGAGAAUUUGCAAAUAUUAAUUUGAAUAUUUCACAAGGAGCUUCUAGCCAAAUUAGUGGACAAAAGAGAAAGAGAGCUGGUGGUGUUGAUAAGAAAACCAAGAAAAAGACAACUCCCGCAUUGGCAAUAGCUGAAGCUAUGAAAGAGAUUGCUGAGACAUGUAAGACGAGAAAUGAUGUUUUAACUAAUGCAUCUAUUGGUGAUGUGAUGGCUGAGCUCCAUAGCAUGGAUGAAAUUACAAGUGAUGUAGACUUGUUCGCAAAAUGUUGUCAACUAAUGAUGUUCAAGCCAGCUAGGGAGAUGUUUGUUUCCUUUCAAGGCUUUAAGGAUAGAAGGUUGAAAUGGCUUAAGUAUGCAACAGAUAACCCUAUGUCAUUUAUGAAGAUGUAACUGUUUCGGACUCUCUUAAGUAUCAGGACUUAUCUUAUAUUAGGAGUAAGCUUAAGUUUUAGGAGUUAUCUUAUAUUAGGAGUAAGCUUAAGUAUGAAUCUGCUAUAAAUAUUAGGAGUAAGUUUAAGUAUUAGGAGUGAUCUUAUAUUAGGAGUUAUCUUUAAUGAUGUGGAUCCUUUUAGAACUUGCACUGUAACAUAUAAUGUAACAUGUAAUAUGUCUUUUGAAAUUUGAAUG